CCUACGGGCGGCAGCAGUGAGGAAUAUUGGGCAAUGGGGGCAACCCUGACCCAGCCAUGCCGCGUGAGUGAAGAAGGUCUUCGGAUUGUAAAGCUCUUUCGGACGUGACGAAAAUGACGGUACCGUCUAAAGAAGCACCGUCAAACUUCGUGCCAGCAGCCGCGGUAAUACGAAGGGUGCGAGCGUUGUUCGGAUUUACUGGGCGUAAAGGGAGUGUAGGCGGAUAUGUAAGAUAGCUGUGAAAUGCCGGGGCUCAACCCCGGAACUGCAAUUGUGACUGUGUAUCUAGAGUACUGGAGAGGAUAGCGGAAUACCUAGUGUAGAGGUGAAAUUCGUAGAUAUUAGGUAGAACACCGGUGGCGAAGGCGGCUAUCUGGACAUUUACUGACGCUGAGGCUCGAAAGCGUGGGGAUCAAACAGGAUUAGAUACCCGAGUAGUC
rnacentral:rRNA from 1 species